GAAUCCCGUCUUUGGCAUGGAUGACCGGGGCUUUUGUGAUGCGCUCUCGAAGAGUCGAGUUGUUUGGGAAUGCAGCUCAAAAUGGGUGGUGAACUCCAUCUAAAGCUAAAUAUUGGCGAGAGACCGAUAGCGAACAAGUACCGUGAGGGAAAGAUGAAAAGCACUUUGGAAAGGGAGUGAAACAGUACGUGAAAUUGUUGAAAGGGAAACGCUUGAAGUCAGUCGCGUCGGCCGAGACUCAGCCUUGCCUCGGCUUGGUGUACUUCUUGACCGACGGGUCAGCAUCAAUUUUGCCCCUUGGAUAAUGGCGAGGGAAAUGUGACACCUUUAUAGGUGUGUUAUAGUCUCUUGUCGCAUGCAAGGGUCGGGAUUGAGGAACUCAGCACGCACCUUUUGGUGUCGGGGCUUUGCCCACGAUACGUGCUUAGGAUGUUGGCGUAAUGGCUUUAAACGACCCGUCUUGAAACACGGACCAAGGAGUCUAACAUGCCUGCGAGUGUUCGGGUGGAAAACCCGUGCGCGCAAUGAAAGUGAAAGUUGGGACCUCUGUCGUGGAGGGCACCGACGCCCGGACCAGACCUUCUGUGACGGCUCUGCGGUAGAGCAUGUAUGUUAGGACCCGAAAGAUGGUGAACUAUGCCUGAAUAGGGUGAAGCCAGAGGAAACUCUGGUGGAGGCUCGUAGCGAUUCUGACGUGCAAAUCGAUCGUCAAAUUUGGGUAUAGGGGCGAAAGACUAAUCGAACCAUCUAGUAGCUGGU
rnacentral:rRNA from 1 species